UAAUCAAACUUGGAGAUAGCUCGUACUCCCCGAAAUGCAUUUAGGUGCAGCCUUGCGGGUUACUGAUGUGAGGUAGAGCGACUGAUAAGAUGCGAGGGCUUCACCGCCUAUCAAGUCUUGACAAACUCCGAAUGCGCAUCAGUUCUACCGCAGGAGUGAGGGCAUGGGUGCUAAGGUCCGUGCCCGAGAGGAGAAGAAUCCGGACCACCGGCUAAGGUCCCGAAAUGACAGCUAAGUUAAACUAACGAAGUCUGAUUGCUAAGACAGCUAGGAUGUUGGCUUGGAAGCAGCCAUUCAUUUAAAGAGUGCGUAACAGCUCACUAGUCGAGGAGUUUGGCGUGGAUAAUAAUCGGGCAUAAGUGGUUUACCGAAGCUAUGGGAUGUUUAAUUCAUCGGUAGGGGAGCAUUCCACUCCGCGUCGAAGGUGAAGCGUGAGCUUUGCUGGAGCGUGUGGAAAAGCAAAUGUAGGUAUAAGUAACGAUAAAGGGGGUGAGAAACCCCCUCGCCGAAAGACUAAGGUUUCCUGAUCAACGCUAAUCGGAUCAGGGUUAGUCGGGUCCUAAGGCUCAGCCGAACGGUGAGGCCGAUGGCAGAACAGGUUAAUAUUCCUGUACUACCUUAAAGAGUGACGUGGAGACGGAGGCGUGACAGUGCCGCGGACUGACGGAAUAGUCCGUUGAAGGGUGUAGAUGUUGAUCGGGGUAGGCAAAUCCGCUCCGAGAGUCGAACCUGAUAGUAUGGAGCGUUCUUCGGAACAAUCCAAUAGUGCAUGUAAUCAUACUCCCAAGAAAAUCCGCUAAACUUAAUCUUUAAGGUACCCGUACCGCAAACGGACACACGUAGUCGGGUUGAAUAUACUAAGGCGCUUGAGUGAUUCACGGUUAAGGAACUAGGCAAAUUGACCCUGUAACUUCGGGAUAAAGGGUCCCCACUGUAAGGUGGGGCGCAGAGAAUCGGUCCAGGCAACUGUUUAACAAAAACACAGGGCUGUGCAAAAUUGAAAGAUGAAGUAUACAGCCUGACACCUGCCCGGUGCUGGAAGGUUAAGAGGAGAUGUCAUCGCAAGAGAAGCAUUGAAUUGAAGCCCCAGUAAACGGCGGCCGUAACUAUAACGGUCCUAAGGUAGCGAAAUUCCUUGUCGGGUAAGUUCCGACCUGCACGAAUGGUGUAAUGAUCUGGACACUGUCUCAACCGUGAGCUCAGUGAAAUUGUAGUAUCGGUGAAGAUGCCGAUUACCCGCGAUGGGACGAAAAGACCCCGUGAACCUUUACUAUAGCUUAACAUUGAAUUUGGGUAAUUGAUGUGUAGGAUAGGCCGGAGGCUUUGAAGCAGGUACGCCAGUAUUUGUGGAGCCGCUGUUGAAAUACGGCCCUUUGGUUAUUUGAGUUCUAACUCGUGAUACGAGGACACUGUUUGGUGGGUAGUUUGACUGGGGUGGUCGCCUCCAAAAACGUAACGGAGGCUUCUAAAGGUGCCCUCACGACGAUUGGUAACCGUCGGCAGAGUGUAAUGGCAUAAGGGCGCUUGACUGGGAGACUAACAAGUCGAUCAGGUAGGAAACUAGAGCAUAGUGAUCCGGUGUUUCCGUAUGGAAGGGACAUCGCUCAAAGGAUAAAAGGUACUCCGGGGAUAACAGGCUGAUCCCUCCCAAGAGCUCAUAUCGACGGAGGGGUUUGGCACCUCGAUGUCGGCUCGUCACAUCCUGGGGCUGGAGAAGGUCCCAAGGGUUGGGCUGUUCGCCCAUUAAAGUGGCACGCGAGCUGGGUUCAGAACGUCGUGAGACAGUUCGGUCUCUAUCUAUCGUGGGCGUAUGAAAUUUGCGUGGCUCUGACACUAGUACGAGAGGACCGUGUUGGACAGACCUCUGGUUUGCCGGUUGUGCCGCCAGGUGCAUUGCCGGGUAUCUAAGUCUGGAUCGGAUAAGUGCUGAAAGCAUCUAAGUACGAAGCCGGCCACAAGAUUAGAUUUCUCAGGGUCGUUGUAGACUACGACGUUGAUAGGAUGCAGGUGUAAAGGUAGAGAUACCAAAGCCGAGCAUUACUAAUUGCCCGUUCACUUUCCUUA
rnacentral:rRNA from 1 species